rnacentral:rRNA from 1 species
UACAGAGGUCCCAAGCGUUGUUCGGAUUCACUGGGCGUAAAGGGUGCGUAGGUGGUCAGGUAAGUCUGAUGUGAAAUCUCUGGGCUCAACCUGGGAAUGGCAAUGGAUACUGGCAGGCUAGAGUGUGUCAGAGGAUGGUGGAAUUCCCGGUGUAGCGGUGAAAUGCGUAGAGAUCGGGAGGAACAUCAGUGGCGAAGGCGGCCAUCUGGGACAACACUGACGCUGAGGCACGAAAGCGUGGGGAGCAAACAGG